rnacentral:rRNA from 1 species
CCUACGGGAGGCAGCAGUGAGGAAUAUUGGUCAAUGGACGCAAGUCUGAACCAGCCAUGCCGCGUGAAGGAAGACGGCUCUAUGAGUUGUAAACUGCUUUUGUACGGGGGUAAACGCAGAUACGCGUAUCUGUUUGCAUGUACCGUAUGAAUAAGGAUCGGCUAACUCCGUGCCCGCAGCCGCGGUAAUACGGAGGAUUCAAGCGUUAUCCGGAUUUAUUGGGUUUAAAGGGUGCGUAGGCGGUCGGAUAAGUUAGAGGUGAAAUCCCGAGGCUCAACUGCGGAAUUGCCUCUGAUACUGUUCGGCUAGAGAAUAGUUGAGGUAGGCGGAAUGUAUGGUGUAGCGGUGAAAUGCUUAGAGAUCAUACAGAACACCGAUUGCGAAGGCAGCUUACCAAGCUACUUCUGACGUUGAGGCACGAAAGCGUGGGGAGCAAACAGGAGUAGAUACCCGAGUAGUC